rnacentral:rRNA from 1 species
GAGGUAGUGACAAGAAAUAACAAUACGGGGCUUUAUGUCUUGUAAUUGGAAUGAUGGGAUUUAAACCUCUUCCAGAGUAUCAAUUGGAGGGCAAGUCUGGUGCCAGCAGCCGCGGUAAUUCCAGCUCCAAUAGCGUAUAUUAAAAUUGUUGCAGUUAAAAAGCUCGUAGUUGAAUUUCUGCUGCAUUGCAUCUUCUUUUUGAUGAGUUGGUGUAUUGUGGCUUAUUUCGGAUGAUACUUGUAUUAUCCGGAUGAUUACUUUGAGAAAAUUAGAGUGCUCAAAGCAGGCUUUUGCCUUGAAUAGUUUAGCAUGGAAUAAUAAAGUAGGACUUUGGUUCUAUUUUGUUGGUUUUAGGUACCAAAGUAAUGGUUAAUAGGAACAGUUGGGGGCAUUCGUAUUUAACUGUCAGAGGUGAAAUUCUUAGAUUUGUUAAAGACGAACUACUGCGAAAGCAUUUGCCAAGGAUGUUUUCAUUAAUCAAGAACAAAAGUUAGGGGAUCGAAGA